UAACCGUAUAGGGGAGCCGUAGGGAAACCGAGUCUUAACUGGGCGUCUAGUUGCAAGGUGUAGACCCGAAACCGGGUGAUCUAGCCAUGGGCAGGUUGAAGGUUGAGUAACAUCAACUGGAGGACCGAACCCACUAACGUUGCAAAGUUAGGGGAUGACCUGUGGCUGGGGGUGAAAGGCCAAUCAAACUCGGAGAUAGCUGGUUCUCCCCGAAAGCUAUUUAGGUAGCGCCUCGGACGAAUACUACUGGGGGUAGAGCACUGUUUGGGCUAGGGGGUCAUCCCGACUUACCAACCCCAUGCAAACUCCGAAUACCAGUAAGUAAUAUCCGGGAGACACGCGGCGGGUGCUAACGUCCGUCGUGAAGAGGGAAACAACCCAGACCGCCGGCUAAGGUCCCAAAGUUCUGGUUAAGUGGGAAACGAUGUGGGAAGGCUCAGACAGCUAGGAUGUUGGCUUAGAAGCAGCCAUCAUUUAAAGAAAGCGUAAUAGCUCACUAGUCGAGUCGGCCUGCGCGGAAGAUGUAACGGGGCUCAAACCAGGCACCGAAGCCGCGGAUUCACACUUAUGUGUGAGUGGUAGGGGAGCGUUCUGUAAGUCUGCGAAGGUGUAUCGAGAGGUAUGCUGGAGAUAUCAGAAGUGCGAAUGCUGACGUAAGUAACGAUAAAGGGGGUGAAAAGCCUCCUCGCCGGAAGACCAAGGGUUCCUGUCCAACGUUAAUCGGGGCAGGGUGAGUCGACCCCUAAGGCGAGGCCGAAAGGCGUAGUCGAUGGGAAGCAGGUUAAUAUUCCUGCACGACUUGUAAUUGCGAUGGGGGGACGGAGAAGGCUAGGUGGGCCAGGCGACGGUUGUCCUGGUGAAAGUGCGUAGGUGGUGUUUCUAGGCAAAUCCGGAGACACAACACUGAGACACGAGACGAACACACUACGGUGUGGAAGCCAUUGAUGCCCUGCUUCCAGGAAAAGCCUCUAAGCUUCAGAUUACAAGUCAUCGUACCCCAAACCGACACAGGUGGUCGGGUAGAGAAUACCAAGGCGCUUGAGAGAACUCGGGUGAAGGAACUAGGCAAAAUAGAACCGUAACUUCGGGAGAAGGUUCGCUCUUGACAGUGAAGUCCCUUGCGGAUGGAGCAGUUGGGAGUCGCAGUGACCAGAUGGCUGGGACUGUUUAUCAAAAACACAGCACUCUGCAAACACGAAAGUGGACGUAUAGGGUGUGACACCUGCCCGGUGCCGGAAGGUUAAUUGAUGGGGUUAGCGCAAGCGAAGCUCUUGAUCGAAGCCCCGGUAAACGGCGGCCGUAACUAUAACGGUCCUAAGGUAGCGAAAUUCCUUGUCGGGUAAGUUCCGACCUGCACGAAUGGUGUAACCAUGGCCAUGCUGUCUCCACCCGAGACUCAGUGAAAUCGAAUUCGCCGUGAAGAUGCGGUGUACCCGCGGCUAGACGGAAAGACCCCGUGAACCUUUACUACAGCUUGGCACUGAACAUUGAACCUACAUGUGUAGGAUAGGUGGGAGGCUUUGAAGGCGUGACGCCAGUUGCGCUGGAGCCGUCCUUGAAAUACCACCCUUGUAUGUUUGAUGUUCUAACGCAGGGCCCUGAAUCGGGCUCGCGGACAGUGCCUGGUGGGUAGUUUGACUGGGGCGGUCUCCUCCCAAAGAGUAACGGAGGAGCACGAAGGUUGGCUAAUCCUGGUCGGACAUCAGGAGGUUAGUGCAAUGGCAUAAGCCAGCUUAACUGCGAGACGGACAGGUCGAGCAGGUACGAAAGUAGGUCAUAGUGAUCCGGUGGUUCUGAAUGGAAGGGCCAUCGCUCAACGGAUAAAAGGUACUCCGGGGAUAACAGGCUGAUACCGCCCAAGAGUUCAUAUCGACGGCGGUGUUUGGCACCUCGAUGUCGGCUCAUCACAUCCUGGGGCUGAAGUCGGUCCCAAGGGUAUGGCUGUUCGCCAUUUAAAGUGGUACGCGAGCUGGGUUCAGAACGUCGUGAGACAGUUCGGUCCCUAUCUGCCGUGGGCGUUGGAUGAUUGAAGGGAGUUGCUCCUAGUACGAGAGGACCGGAGUGAACGAACCUCUGGUGUUCGGGUUGUCACGCCAGUGGCACUGCCCGGUAGCUAAGUUCGGAAUCGAUAACCGCUGAAAGCAUCUAAGCGGGAAGCGAGCCCUGAGAUGAGUCAUCCCUGACCCCUUGAGGGUCCUAAAGGGCCGUUGGAGACCACAACGUUGAUAGGCGGGGUGUGUAAGUGCAGCGAUGCAUUGAGCUAACCCGUACUAAUUACCCGUGAGGCUUAACCAU
rnacentral:rRNA from 1 species